AAAGAAUAUAAGCCAACUUUUACAUUUUCAUCAAAGUUGGAUUAUGUUACACUAUUUAUUAUUUACUCCUAUGACUCAAUAGUUUACACAUUGUGCUUUAGCAAAUCACAAAUCAUUCCUAUUUUACCCUUAAUUGGCAUUUAUUUGUGGAGUUCUUACAGAGACAAGAAGUGUACCUUUAGUUUACACAGUGAACAUAGUUCGCUAGUUGGUGCGUCUUUAGAAUUUGCGAUUCGCGAGGCGAUUAGCAAACAUGUGGCAAUGGUUUAUAAUAAGAAAUAGUAUGUUUUAUGAGAGGAAGGGUUUGGCUGAUGGUGUCCAUUGGUAGUUUGAUGGAUAACUUCAGAUUAAGAGCAAUGACAUUCGUGGGGAGGUUGCCUUCUAAAACGAAUAGGAAAAGUGAGGAUUGCACGAAAGAGUUAACGUUACUGUUGUUUCUGCAGCAAACUGUCCUGACAAGAUUGAUUCUGCCCUGCAUAGACCAGUGCAUCAGAUCGUGUUGAUAUAUCCAACAUUCAUGCUUUGCUCUUCUGAUGUCAACAUAACAGAGCUAGCUCAUCUCUCUGAAGGAUGCACUGAUGCUGAUACAUCAUUAACUUGCAGAGAAGCAGCAAUCUCAGCAAUUGAAGAGAAUCUAAAUGCUUUGGAGAUAAAAAUGGAACAUUUGAAAAAUGCCAACAGCAGCUGAAUGGACCAAACACGAAACCAUCCUGGAACACGAUGAAUCGGAUCCAAGCUGCCCUUCUACCAUGGUGAAAUGAAACACAUCUUCAGACAGGUAAUUUGAUGUAAUUGUUUUGCGCUUAUCACACAUUCUUUGCAUUAUGCAUGUAUGAUCGGACAAGAUCCUCACACAUACGCACGCAUGCACGCACGCAAUUGACCCUCUCGUGUUCGUACAUGAUCGAGAUUUUCUUUGAUAUCGCCUUUUUAGGCUACGUAGCCCUUCACGGAAAAAUACAAGUUAUGGGAAGUAAAAUGUAUGACAAUUCCUCAAGGGUAGGAAACAACAGAUUUUGGACAAUUACAGAAAGAUGCAAUAGUUGUUAAGUGUCAAACCUCACUAAAUUUAUAAAGAGAUUUAAGCAAAUCAAACAUGUAUGUAAUUGUUUAGAUGCUUUAGCCUCAAAUUGUAUUUAAAAUUAUUUACUAGCUUUCUCUUUAUAUAAUUAUUCAUAUUCCAAAGUGAAAAAAAAUUAUCAUUUAAAGUUUUCAUUAAAAUUAGUUUAUACUAAAAAAAUAAUUUACGUAUAAAUAUUUUUCGUUAAAUCAAACAUAAAAAAGAAAAAAAGUUCGGUGAAGUGAAUCUUGAAAGCAUAAUUUGUACUAGAUUGGUUUGUAGGUGUAACAACUUUCUUUCAUUAAUCAAUAGUUACUAAGUACUUAGAAAUCAUACAUUAUUAUAAGAGUUUGUAAUAUGGUUUAAGUUUUAAUCAACUAGUUAUUAAUGAUCAAGAUCAAAGUUUGGUGAUGUACCCUUUUUGGCUCCCACCAAUCCUUAUCUAAUCCUUGUAUGUCAUUUAAACUUCAAGAUACCAUUAAUUAAAUGAAAUGUUAAUUAAUAAAAUUUUUAUGCAAGUAAAUUGGUUCAACUAUUCAUUUUGUAGCUAUUGGAUAGAUUAAUGUGGAAUAUUGGUUCCUCUAAAGUUCUUUUAGAAUUGGGAUUCUUGGUCUCAAUAUUACAAGAUUAUGUCACAUAAAUUAAGAUCAACACUUUAAUUUGUUUGUAAGUUUUACAUGUUGUGGAAGCGGAAGCGGAAGCGGAUAAAGAGAAUCUCUACAAAUAAAGGAUAUUAUGAAGCUAACUCACAAUUCUCUGACUUGAUAUAUGUAAUUGUUUAUUUUAUUAAAAAAAUUCAUGUAACACA